UUACGUUUUUAAGUGCAACAUUGAAAUAUAUAGUAGUGCCUUCAGUUUUUUAAGGGUAUACAAAGAAUUUAAUAAAAUAUUGCACAGACUUAGACAAAAUGGAUCGAGCGAAACACUGCACCACAAAACAACGAAAGCAGAUUUUGAAAUUAAGAGCAGAUCUUCCACAGAAAUAUAAAGUAUUGUUUCAUGUUCAGCAAAAAUCAUUUCAAAUGCAAUCAAAUUUGUGGAAAAGCCGGAAGAAAGAGGAGGAAAACGAAGAACUCCCCUGCAAGACGAUCGCAGAAUUGUAAGGUGCUCCAAAGAGAAUCCCAUGAAGUCAACCAUACAAAUUAAAAAAGACGUAAACUUAAAUGUUUCUGGCGUGACUGUAUGUAGAAGACUACGGAAAGCUGGAUUAGCAACUUGCAGCCCACGAAAAAGGCUACUCCGGACACGAAACACAGGGCAAAACGUUAGGAAUUUGCAAGAAAACUUGGUAGUUGAACAGCUGACAUGUGACGUAAUAUUUUAUGGAAUGACGAGUCCAAAUUGUUUUGUAUGGCGGCACGUGCUCACGACAAUAUGUUAGACGUUCUCCUGGCACCGAAAAUCAGCCCCAAUACACCUUAAAAACCAUUAAACAUGGGGGCUCAGAAAAAAUGGUAUGGGGAUGUUUCGCAUAUUAUAGCCCCAUACACAAAAUUAAUGGCAUAAUGGACACCAGUAUUUAUGUGGAAAUGACACAGAAUGUUAUGUUGGCAUAUUGCAGUGUCAAAAUGCCAAUAAAAUGGGUCUACCAGCGGGAUAAUCAUCCAAAACACCCGAGUCGAAAGGCCAAAAAUAGGUUUCGCCCAAACAAAAUUGAGGUUAUGGAAUGGCCAGCUCAGUCGCCCGCGUGUAAUUGAAAUUUUAUUUGGAUGCAUGCAAGUAUGUACAUACAUAUAGACUGAGAUAAAUGAUCUAUUUAUUAAUGCUAUUGUUUUUGCUUGUUACUUCUGAUUGAAUUAUUCAUGUUUCUAUGCAAAUAAAAAAUACAUAUAUAUGUA